UCUCUGUACGGGAAGGAUGAGAAGCUUCGACCAAGGUUCGAUUCGAGCGCAGCGAGAAAGCGUUGCCGCAGGCAACGACCCGAAGGGCGAAGCGCGCAGCGCUGAGUCAUCCUUCCCCCACCACCA
rnacentral:sRNA from 7 species